rnacentral:misc_RNA from 1 species
CUGCAGGUGUGUUUAUUAAUGUGUUAGUGCAUCUAUUGUGUUAAACAGUCUCGUAACAACAAACACUCUCAAAUACAUGGGUUACUUUAACAGGAUUACAAAAUCAGAAAUGCCAUGUCUUACCAUGGCUGUGAUGCAUCAUUAUCUAUAACUCGGGAUCAGAACAUGUUGUCCAGCGAAAAGCUAAACUACUUGCUACGUAUUUAGGAUUUUACCUUCUAAAAUGGAUGUUUCAAUUUUAUUAAAUUUUGAGAAACUGUUAACACUGCAUUAAAGUAAGCA